ensembl:rRNA 5S_rRNA 5S ribosomal RNA
GUCUAUGGCCAUGCCAUCCUGAACAAGCCCGAUCUGGUCUAAUCUCAGAAGCUAAGCAAGAGUUGGGCCUGGUUAGUAUUUGGAUGGGAGAUCACCUACGAAGAUCAGGUGCUGUAGGUG